rnacentral:rRNA from 1 species
CCUACGGGAGGCAGCAGUAGGGAAUCUUUCACAAUGGGCGAAAGCCUGAUGGAGCAACGCCGCGUGCAGGAUGAAGGCCUUCGGGUUGUAAACUGCUUUUAUAAGCGAGAAAUAUGAUGGUAACUUAUGAAUAAGGAUCGGCUAACUACGUGCCAGCAGCCGCGGUCAUACGUAGGAUCCGAGCAUUAUCCGGAGUGACUGGGUGUAAAGAGUUGCGUAGGUGGCAUAAUAAGUAGCUAGUGAAAUCUGGUGGCUCAACCAUUCAGACUAUUAGCUAAACUGUUACGCUCGAGACCGUUAGGGGUAACUGGAAUUUCUAGUGUAGGAGUGAAAUCCGUAGAUAUUAGAAGGAACACCAAUAGCGUAGGCAGGUUGCUGGGACGGGUCUGACACUAAGACACGAAAGCGUAGGGAGCAAACGGGAUUAGAUACCCGUGUAGUC